rnacentral:rRNA from 2 species
UCGUCAGAUGAACGCUGGCGGCGUGCCUAAUACAUGCAAGUCGAGCGAACGGACGAGAAGCUUGCUUCUCUGAUGUUAGCGGCGGACGGGUGAGUAACACGUGGAUAACCUACCUAUAAGACUGGGAUAACUUCGGGAAACCGGAGCUAAUACCGGAUAAUAUUUUGAACCGCAUGGUUCAAAAGUGAAAGACGGUCUUGCUGUCACUUAUAGAUGGAUCCGCGCUGCAUUAGCUAGUUGGUAAGGUAACGGCUUACCAAGGCAACGAUGCAUAGCCGACCUGAGAGGGUGAUCGGCCACACUGGAACUGAGACACGGUCCAGACUCCUACGGGAGGCAGCAGUAGGGAAUCUUCCGCAAUGGGCGAAAGCCUGACGGAGCAACGCCGCGUGAGUGAUGAAGGUCUUCGGAUCGUAAAACUCUGUUAUUAGGGAAGAACAUAUGUGUAAGUAACUGUGCACAUCUUGACGGUACCUAAUCAGAAAGCCACGGCUAACUACGUGCCAGCAGCCGCGGUAAUACGUAGGUGGCAAGCGUUAUCCGGAAUUAUUGGGCGUAAAGCGCGCGUAGGCGGUUUUUUAAGUCUGAUGUGAAAGCCCACGGCUCAACCGUGGAGGGUCAUUGGAAACUGGAAAACUUGAGUGCAGAAGAGGAAAGUGGAAUUCCAUGUGUAGCGGUGAAAUGCGCAGAGAUAUGGAGGAACACCAGUGGCGAAGGCGACUUUCUGGUCUGUAACUGACGCUGAUGUGCGAAAGCGUGGGGAUCAAACAGGAUUAGAUACCCUGGUAGUCCACGCCGUAAACGAUGAGUGCUAAGUGUUAGGGGGGUUUCCGCCCCUUAGUGCUGCAGCUAACGCAUUAAGCACUCCGCCCUGGGGAGUACGACCGCAAGGUUGAACUAAG